CCUACGGGGUGCAACAGUGAGGAAUAUUGGUCAAUGGUCGAGAGUCUGAACCAGCCCAGCAGCGUGAAGGAUGACUGUCCUAUUUGUUGUAAACUUCUUUUAUCUGGGAAUAAAAUGUUCCACGUGUGGGAUUUUGUAUGUACCAUAUGAAUAAGAAUCGGCUAACUCCGUGCCAGCAGCCGCGGUAAUACGGAGGAUCCGAGCGUUAUCCGGAUUUAUUGGGUUUAAAGGGUGCGUAGGUGGAUUGUUAAGUAAGUUGUGAACGUUUGCGGCUCAACCGUAAAAUUGCAGUUGAAACUGGCAGUCUUGAGUUCAGGAGAGGUGGGCGGAAUGCGAGGUGUAGCGGUGAAAUGCUGAGAUAUCGCGAAGAACUCCGAUUGCGAAGGCAGCUCACUGGACGGCAACUGACACUGAGGCACAAAAGUGUGGGUAUCAAACAGGAUUAGAUACCCUUGUAGUC
rnacentral:rRNA from 1 species